GACGAACGCUGGCGGCGUGCCUAAUACAUGCAAGUCGAGCGAGUGAAACGAUCAGAAGCCUUCGGGUGGACGAUCGUGGAUCUAGCGGCGGACGGGUGAGUAACACGUAGGCAACCUGCCUGUAAGACGGGGAUAACUCCGGGAAACCGGAGCUAAUACCGGAUGAACCUUCAGCUCGCAUGAGCUGGAGUUGAAAGGUGGCGUAAGCUACCACUUACAGAUGGGCCUGCGGCGCAUUAGCUAGUUGGUGAGGUAAGGGCUCACCAAGGCGACGAUGCGUAGCCGACCUGAGAGGGUGAUCGGCCACACUGGGACUGAGACACGGCCCAGACUCCUACGGGAGGCAG
rnacentral:rRNA from 1 species